CUCCGCCGUCUCAAAAAAAAAUCUCAAACCGGUAAAAAAAAUUUGAAAAUGUAAUGUUGUUAGUCUGAAUCUAAUCGUCACCUUUGACGGGAUCAUUAACAAGUUUACCACUCCGCACACGGUAUCAUUGAAUGCAAACCCCUUUACUUCCUUUCUCAAAAUUUUUGACUAUAAAAAGGCAUGUCAUAUCCCCUGGAUUUCAAUCAGUACUAUCCUCUCAAGCAUUAGCUUUUGAUAACAGUGAUUUUGAUUUUGGUUUCUGGGAAAUGAUUUCACUUUUGGUUUUGUUUGUUAACUUGAUUUACGUUUGUUCAUGUAUAGAUUAUCAAUUUUUUUUAUUCCUAUGUUUUUGUGUAUCGGUGAUGAUUUAGAUGUUGAUUUUUUUGUUUAUUCUGUUUGUUACGAUCUUCAUCAAUGUAGUUUUCGACCAUAGAUUUCCUACAUGAUUAUAUUUUUAAUUCCUCUUUCCUAUGUGCAUGCGUUCUGUUUUGGGUGAUAUUUGUUGGUCUCAUGUUGUUUUUUUGUUACUGAGUCGAACAAUUGUUUACAUUGUUACCAUCCUCCUAGAUUUCUCUUUGUAUGUUUAUGAUUUUAAUUUGUACUUGACUAAUUUAUAGAGUUCAUUUUGAUGUUGGCUAUCAAUCGUUUUGGUGAUAGUUUCUGUGACCAAGAAGCCCACGAAGUGAGCAUGACGUAGCAAAGAGUUUGCAAAUGAUCCAAACUAAACCAAACGGCCAAACAAAUGCCUUCUUCGUUUUCAUUUAAUCAUUGCCUACUGAUUCUUAGCUUUCAUGUGUUCAGUAGUUUCCAAGGAUUAAACAUUUUGGCUGUAAAAAGACUUCUCAUUUGGCUACUGUGAAAUUUACUGAAGGAAAUAUUUCUGUGAAACUUUCGAAAAGGAACAUCCUAUGGAACAAAUAUAUUGUUGCUUGCUGUGAAUGGCUCCUUUCACUUUGAAGAGGAAGACACUUUAUGGUUCUAAGGCUGAAAAGUGCAAAGUUGGCUAUGAGAAAAACAUGAGAGACUACAACAGAUUAUCUGGAGGAAGGCCGAAAGGAAGAUGAGGCCAUCUACCAUUACAGAUGUUGAACUACUGCCGUACUCUGCCUGCCAUGUUCAGGCUGCAUGUUUCCUCUUCUACAUGACUCUUGAUUUCCUAGCUUUCGUUCACGUUUUUGCAUUACAAUAAUUACUCUCCUUAUCCAAAUGUUUCAUGUGUUGCUUUCCAAGUUUAACUUAAAAGCCUCUUCACAUAUACCUUAUUUAAUAUUGUAUCACAGAGUUACUAAUCAUUGCAGUAAAAUUAGUUAGAAAUCCAAAGAUUACUUGACAAACAAGUUACUAAUCAAACCACUAGAACGAAAGAAAAAAAAGAACCCAAAUCCAACAACAUAAGCUACCAAACAAAAUUGAAGUCCCCCACGAUUGACUAACCCAUAUAAUUGACAUCUUAGAAAACUCAAUCUUCCUAGAUCCAAAUUAAAAUGAUUAUGUUUUCAUGAUUGUUGUUAAAGAUAUGGAAUAUACAUGUAUAUCACUCUCUUCUCAUUAUUUCAUAUAUCUCUCUAUACAAAAGAGAACUAUCAUAUAUAGUUGUAAGUUCUUUAAACAAGAAAAUAUUACAAUUUUUAAACAUCUGAUUUGAGAAAAAAAUGAUAAAAUAUAAAGAGUUUUAAAUUUAAAUGAGACAGUCCAUUGAAUUACUUAGAGACUAAUUGGAAACAAACAUUAUAAAUAGUUCUAACUGAAUCAAAACAUGUAAACAAUUCAACCAAUUAAAUACCGUAACUAAAAUUUAGUUAAUUUUUGUUCAUUCUUCUCUUCAUCUUAUAUAUAAUUUUCAAUAACAAAAAAUGGAUACAAAAAUUUUUGAAUCGCAUAAAAGAAAAAUAUUGAAUAAUUUAAAAUUAUAUUAUAUUUGUCCAUAGCUUCUUAUAUAUUUUUUAUGAUAGAUUAUAGAAUUUAUAUAUUAAA